GGGGUUGUGGCUCAGUGGUAGAGUACUCACCUAAUACUGAGAGGCCCUGGGUUCGAUCCUCAGCACCA
rnacentral:tRNA from 1 species